rnacentral:rRNA from 1 species
GCUAUACAUGCAAGUCGAACGAACGGAGGAAGAGCUUGCUCUUCCAAWGUUAGUGGCGGACGGGUGAGUAACACGUGGGCAACCUGCCUGUAAGUUGGGGAUAACUCCGGGAAACCGGGGCUAAUACCGAAUGAUAAAGUGUGGCGCAUGCCACGCUUUUGAAAGAUGGUUUCGGCUAUCGCUUACAGAUGGGCCCGCGGUGCAUUAGCUAGUUGGUAGGGUAAUGGCCUACCAAGGCAACGAUGCAUAGCCGACCUGAGAGGGUGAUCGGCCACACUGGGACUGAGACACGGCCCAGACUCCUACGGGAGGCAGCAGUAGGGAAUCUUCCGCAAUGGACGAAAGUCUGACGGAGCAACGCCGCGUGUAUGAAGAAGGUUUUCGGAUCGUAAAGUACUGUUGUUAGAGAAGAACAAGGAUAAGAGUAACUGCUUGUCCCUUGACGGUAUCUAACCAGAAAGCCACGGCUAACUACGUGCCAGCAGCCGCGGUAAUACGUAGGUGGCAAGCGUUGUCCGGAUUUAUUGGGCGUAAAGCGCGCGCAGGCGGUCUUUUAAGUCUGAUGUGAAAGCCCCCGGCUUAACCGGGAGGGUCAUUGGAAACUGGAGACUGGAGUGCAGAGAGAGAGUGAUCACGUGUAG